AUGAGUCAACCUGAUGGGAUCAACAUCCCCGACGACAAGUUCUACCUUCGAGAUGCUGGCUAUGCAUGUCGGCCGGGUAUUCUUCCACCCUUCAGGAAAACAAGGUACCAUCUCAACGAGUUCUCUGGUAGGAACUAUCCUAGGACUGCACAUGAGCUGUUUAAUCUCAGACACUCUAGCCUUAGAGUAACUGUUAGAGGGCAUUUGGAGCUCUGA
rnacentral:rRNA from 1 species